rnacentral:rRNA from 1 species
AUUGAACGCUGGCGGCAUGCUUUACACAUGCAAGUCGAACGGGCUGGGGGUAACUCCAGUCAGUGGCGAACGGGUGAGUAAUACAUCGGAACGUACCUCGUAGUGGGGGAUAACUCGGCGAAAGCCGUGCUAAUACCGCAUAUGCUCUACGGAGGAAAGCAGGGGACCGCAAGGCCUUGUGCUAUGGGAGCGGCCGAUGUCCGAUUAGCUAGUUGGUGAGGUAAUGGCNCACCAAGGCGACGAUCGGUAGCUGGUCUGAGAGGAUGAUCAGCCACACUGGGACUGAGACACGGCCCAGACUCCUACGGGAGGCAGCAGUGGGGAAUUUUGGACAAUGGGGGCAACCCUGAUCCAGCCAUGCCGCGUGCGGGAAGAA